rnacentral:rRNA from 1 species
AGGACGAUCAGCCACAUUGGGACUGAGACACGGCCCAGACUUCUACGGAAGGCAGCAGUUAGGAAUAUUGGACAAUGGGGGCAACCCUGAUCCAGCUAUACCGCGUGUGUGAAGAAGGCCUUAGGGUUGUAAAGCACUUUAAGCAGGGAAGAAGCAUAUUAAGUUAAUAUCUUAAUAUGUUGACGUUACCUGAAGAAUAAGGACCGGCUAACUCCGUGCCAGCAGCCGCGGUAAUACGGAGGGUCCAAGCGUUAAUCGGAAUUACUGGGCGUAAAGCGCGCGUAGGCGGUUUAAUAAGUUGUAUGUGAAAGCCCUGGGCUCAACCUAGGAACUGCAUACAAAACUAUUAAGCUAGAGGACGAGAGAGGAGAGUAGAAUUUCAGGUGUAGCGGUGAAAUGCGUAGAUAUCUGAAGGAAUACCAAUGGCGAAGGCAGCUCUCUGGAUCGUUUCUGACGCUAAGGUGCGAAAGCGUGGGUAGCAAACAGGAUUAGAUACCCUGGUAGUCCACGCCGUAAACGAUGAUAACUAGCCGUUGGGCAGAUUUAACUGUUCAGUGGCACAGCUAACGCAUUAAGUUAUCCGCCUGGGGAGUACGGCCGCAAGGCUAAAACUCAAAUGAAUUGACGGGGGCCCGCACAAGUGGUGGAGCAUGUGGUUUAAUUCGAUGCAACGCGAAGAACCUUACCAACCUUUGAAAUCCAGAGAAGUCACCAGAGAUGGAGAUGUGCCUUCGGGAACUCUGUGACAGGUGUUGCAUGGCUGUCGUCAGCUCGUGUCGUGAGAUGUUGGGUUAAGUCCCGUAACGAGCGCAACCCCUAUCCUUAUUUGCCAGCACAUCAUGGUGGGAACUAUAAGGAGACUGCCGGUGAUAAACCGGAGGAAGGCGGGGACGACGUCAAGUCAUCAUGGCCCUUACGACCAGGGCUACACACGUGCUACAAUGGGAAGGACAAAGAGCCGCGAAGCCGCGAGGUGUAGCUAAUCUCAGAAACCUUUUCGUAGUCCGGAUUGGAGUCUGCAACUCGACUCCAUGAAGUCGGAAUCGCUAGUAAUCGUAGAUCAGAAUGCUACGGUGAAUACGUUCCCGGGUCUUGUACACACCGCCCGUCAUACCAUGGGAGUGGGUUGCACCAGAAGUGGCUAGUCUAACUUUAUUGAGGACGGUCACCACGGUGUGAUUCAUGACUGGGGUAAAGUCGUAACAAGGUAGCCCUACCGGAAGGUGGGGCUG